GAUGAACGCUGGCGGCGUGCCUAACACAUGCAAGUCGAGCGAGGUUUAUGUGAGUGGAGACUUCGGUUGAAGCGACCAUAAUGAAAGCGGCGGACGGGUGAGUAACGCGUGAGCAAUCUGCACCAUACAAAGGGAUACCCACUGGAAACGGUGAUUAAUACCUUAUGAGACCACAGAGGCGCAUGGUCCGGGGGUAACAAAUCUAUCGGUAUGGGAUGAGUUCGCGUCUGAUUAGCUAGUUGGUGAGGUAAUGGCUCACAAAGGUGACGAUCAGUAGCCGACCUGAGAGGGUGAACGGCCACACUGGAACUGAGUCACGGUCCAGACUCCUACGGGAGGCAGCAGUGGGGAAUAUUGCACAAUGGGCGCAAGCCUGAUGCAGCAACGCCGAGUGAAUGAUGAAGGCCUUCGGGUCGUAAAGUUCUGUCCUAAGGGAAGAAUACAGUGACGGUACCUUAGGAGGAAGCCCCGGCUAACUACGUGCCAGCCGCCGCCGUAAUAC
rnacentral:rRNA from 1 species